rnacentral:snRNA from 1 species
CUACUUUCCAGGUAGGGAAGAUACCAUGAUCACAAAGGUGGUUUUCCCAGGCCGAGACUUAUCCAUUGCACUCCGGUUGAGCUGACCCUUGCAAUUUCCCCAAAUGUGGGAAACUUGAUAGCAUAAUUUGUGGUAGUGAGUAGAGGACUGUGUUCUCACUCUACCCU